rnacentral:rRNA from 1 species
UACGUAGGGGGCAAGCGUUAUCCGGAUUUACUGGGUGUAAAGGGAGCGUAGGCGGCUUAGUAAGUCAGAAGUGAAAGCCCGCAGCUCAACUGCGGGACUGCUUUUGAAACUGCCAAGCUAGAGUGUCGGAGAGGUAAGUGGAAUUCCUAGUGUAGCGGUGAAAUGCGUAGAUAUCAGGAGGAACACCGGUGGCGAAGGCGGCUUACUGGACGGCGUCUGACGUUGAGGCUCGAAAGCGUGGGGAGCGAACAGG